GAUAAUGUGCCUGAAUUUAAAGGGCUAUUUUGAUAGAAUAGAUCAUGUAUAUAUACUUUUAUCU
rnacentral:tRNA from 1 species